GCCUACGGGGCGCAGCAGUCGAGAAUCAUUCACAAUGGGGGAAACCCUGAUGGUGCGACGCCGCGUGGGGGAAUGAAGGUCUUCGGAUUGUAAACCCCUGUCCUGUGGGAGCAAAUUAAAAAGAUAGUACCACAAGAGGAAGAGACGGCUAACUCUGUGCCAGCAGCCGCGGUAAUACAGAGGUCUCAAGCGUUGUUCGGAAUCACUGGGCGUAAAGCGUGCGUAGGCUGUUUCGUAAGUCGUGUGUGAAAGGCGCGGGCUCAACCCGCGGACGGCACAUGUUACUGCGAGACUAGAGUAAUGGG
rnacentral:rRNA from 1 species